rnacentral:rRNA from 1 species
UUUCUAGACCUCCCUGGAGGAGCUUGCUAUUUAACCGAUAACCCCCGUUACACCUCACCGGUCUUUGAAAAUUCAGCCUGUAUACCAUCGUCGUCAGUCUACCCCACAAGGGAAGUCUACCAAAAGGGUUUACACCCCAAAACGUCAGAUCGAGGUGCAGCUAAUAGACCUGGGAAUAAGUGAGCUACAAUAAUCUUCGCUUUUACGUCUAUACCGAUUCAUGGAUAGCCUCAUGAAAAUUGGGGAUUAAAAUAGGAUUCAGAAGUAACACUUAACAGAAAGUAAGUGCGAACAACCAAAGCUCUGGAAUGCGC